GAUGAAGAACGUAGCGAAAUGCGAUACGUAGUGUGAAUUGCAAAAUUCAGUGAAUCAUCGAAUCUUUGAACGCACAUUGCACCUCUCGGUAUUCCGGGAGGUAUGCCUGUUCGAGCGUCAUUUGUACCCUCAAGCUCUGCUUGGUGUUGGGUGUUUGUUCCGCCUCUGUGUGUGAACUCGCCUCAAAACAAUUGGCAGCCGGCGUACUUGUUUCGGAGCGCAGCACAUUUUGCGAUCCAGAUCAACGUACAGCGGCAUCCAAGAAGCCUUAUUUAACGCUCUUGACCUCGGAUCAGGUAGGGAUACCCGCUGAACUUAAGCAUAUCAAUAAGCGGAGGA
rnacentral:misc_RNA from 1 species